GAUGAACGCUGGCGGCGUGCCUAAUACAUGCAAGUCGAACGCAUAGCGAAAGGUGCUUGCACCUUUCAAGUGAGUGGCGAACGGGUGAGUAACACGUGGACAACCUGCCUCAAGGCUGGGGAUAACAUUUGGAAACAGAUGCUAAUACCGAAUAAAACUUAGUGUCGCAUGACACAAAGUUAAAAGGCGCUUCGGCGUCACUUAGAGAUGGAUCCGCGGUGCAUUAGUUAGUUGGUGGGGUAAAGGCCUACCAAGACAAUGAUGCAUAGCCGAGUUGAGAGACUGAUCGGCCACAUUGGGACUGAGACACGGCCCAAACUCCUACGGGAGGCUGCAGUAGGGAAUCUUCCACAAUGGGCGAAAGCCUGAUGGAGCAACGCCGCGUGUGUGAUGAAGGCUUUCGGGUCGUAAAGCACUGUUGUAUGGGAAGAACAGCUGGAAUAGGAAAUGAUUUUAGUUUGACGGUACCAUACCAGAAAGGGACGGCUAAAUACGUG
rnacentral:rRNA from 1 species